AGGAAAUGGCUUAAGGGAUGGAGAUAUAGAUUUUGAGUUUGGUGCAACGGGCUUUCGUAGCCAGUCAGUGCUAGUAGCGAAGCAGGCUAGCUUAGCAUAAGUACGAAGUCAGCAGUCGUAAUUUAAACUUCCAUAGAGUUUGGAGAAUAUAUGCCUUUUUACAGUAAUUUCAUUCGGAGACUAAACAACCCCAACCUGGAAAGGAUUUUAUAUAGGAUCGUGAAUGUGGUCCUUGCUUUUCCAAUUCUGGCACCGACAUCCUCCUCCGUUCCUCCGUCCACAGCAAUAAUGCUUCCUAGAUGAACACUGUGGAGAGGCAGAGCCGACAGUCCGACAUAGAGGCAGGCCAAGAUGGCAGCGGGGAUGGCGAGUGAGCGGCGAGGGCGGCAGCCGUCAACGUCGGGUAGAAAGGUGGUGAAACAACGACAAGACGAGACAAAGCGCAUGCAACCCGGAAGAGAGCGAGAGGGAGAGCAGGAGGCAGACGACGCGGGCGACUGAAAAAAAAACGGAAAAAUA